CUAGCCUGUAAUCUCAGCUACUGGAUAGAGUGAGGCCAGUGGAUCUCUUGAGCUCAGGAGUUCUGAGUUGUAGUGUGCUAGGCUAGUCAGGCAUCUGCACUAAAUUUGGCAUUAUUAUGAUGAGCCCCCAGGAGCAGGGAGGCCAUCAGGUUGCCUAAGGAGGGAUGAACCAAAUCAGAUCAGAAAUAGGGUUCCUGUGCCAAUCAGUAGUAGGACUGACCAGUGAGUAGCCCCUGAACUUCUAGCCUGGGUGAGAUGGGGAGACCCAGGCUUAA
rnacentral:SRP_RNA from 1 species